UCGAGGGGUAGAAGGAGCUUGCUCCUUUGAGACCGGCGCACGGGUGCGUAACGCGUAUGCAAUCUACCUUGUACAGGGGAAUAGCCCAGAGAAAUUUGGAUUAAUGCCCCAUAGUAUAUAACCUUCGCAUGUUGGUUAUAUUAAAGUUCCAACGGUACAAGAUGAGCAUGCGUCCCAUUAGUUAGUUGGUAAGGUAACGGCUUACCAAGACGAUGAUGGGUAGGGGUCCUGAGAGGGAGAUCCCCCACACUGGUACUGAGACACGGACCAGACUCCUACGGGAGGCAGCAGUGAGGAAUAUUGGUCAAUGGUCGCAAGACUGAACCAGCCAUGCCGCGUGCAGGAAGACGGUCCUAUGGAUUGUAAACUGCUUUUAUACAGGAAGAAACCCUCCCACGUGUGGGAGCUUGACGGUACUGUAGGAAUAAGGAUCGGCUAACUCCGUGCCAGCAGCCGCGGUAAUACGGAGGAUCCAAGCGUUAUCCGGAAUCAUUGGGUUUAAAGGGUCCGUAGGCGGCCUUAUAAGUCAGUGGUGAAAGCCCAUCGCUCAACGAUGGAACUGCCAUUGAUACUGUAAGGCUUGAAUUAUUGUGAAGUAACUAGAAUAUGUAGUGUAGCGGUGAAAUGCUUAGAUAUUACAUGGAAUACCAAUUG
rnacentral:rRNA from 1 species